rnacentral:rRNA from 1 species
UACGUAGGGUGCGAGCGUUAAUCGGAAUUACUGGGCGUAAAGCGUGCGCAGGCGGUAAGUUAAGUCUGAUGUGAAAGCCCCGGGCUCAACCUGGGAACGGCAUUGGAAACUGGCUUGCUAGAGUGUGGCAGAGGGGGGUGGAAUUCCGCGUGUAGCAGUGAAAUGCGUAGAGAUGCGGAGGAACACCGAUGGCGAAGGCAGCCCCCUGGGCCAACACUGACGCUCAGGCACGAAAGCGUGGGGAGCAAACAGG